rnacentral:rRNA from 1 species
GACGAACGCUGGCGGCGUGCUUAACACAUGCAAGUCGAACGGAAAGGCCCUGCUUUUGUGGGGUGCUCGAGUGGCGAACGGGUGAGUAACACGUGAGUAACCUGCCCUUGACUUUGGGAUAACUUCAGGAAACUGGGGCUAAUACCGGAUAGGAGCUCCUGCUGCAUGGUGGGGGUUGGAAAGUUUCGGCGGUUGGGGAUGGACUCGCGGCUUAUCAGCUUGUUGGUGGGGUAGUGGCUUACCAAGGCUUUGACGGGUAGCCGGCCUGAGAGGGUGACCGGCCACAAUGGGACUGAGAUACGGCCCAGACUCCUACGGGAGGCAGCAGUGGGGAAUAUUGCACAAUGGGCGGGAGCCUGAUGCAGCAACGCCGCGUGCGGGAUGACGGCCUUCGGGUUGUAAACCGCUUUCGCCUGUGACGAAGCGUGAGUGACGGUAAUGGGUAAAGAAGCACCGGCUAACUACGUG